AAGUCGUAACAAGGUUUCCGUAGGUGAACCUGCGGAAGGAUCAUUGUCGAAUCCUGCGAUAGCAAAAUGACCUGCUAACAUGUAAACACAUUGGGCAAGCGUCGGGGGGCCUGGGCCUCACGUCAGUGAACCCCAGGCCGGUGGCCCUUCGGGUGCCCACCGGCCUACGAAAUCGGGCGCGGAAAGCGCCAAGGAAAAGUAAAAACUGAAUUGCACGUGUGCUUCCUGUACGCAGGAAGCGUCGUCAUUCUGAAACACAAACGACUCUCGGCAACGGAUAUCCCGGCUCUCGCAUCGAUGAAGAACGUAGCGAAAUGCGAUACUUGGUGUGAAUUGCAGAAUCCCGUGAACCAUCGAGUCUUUGAACGCAAGUUGCGCCUGAGGCCAUUAGGCCAAGGGCACGUCUGCCUGGGUGUCACGCAUCUUGUUGCCCCCGACCACUCACUCCCUUGGGGGACGUGGGCCGGUUUGGGGGCGGAUAAUGGCCUCCCGUGCCUUGCGGUGCGGUUGGUGCAAAAAUGAGUCUCUUCGAGCGACGGACGUCGCGACAUCGAUGGUUGUAAAAAUUCCCUCUUGUAUUGUCGUGCCAAUGCCUGUCGCCUUAACGAGCUCAAGGACCCCAAGGCGCCACAUACCGUGUGCGCUUCGACUGUGACCCCAGGUCAGGCGGGACU
rnacentral:rRNA from 1 species